GACGUAGGGCGCGAGCGUUGUCCGGAUUUAUUGGGCGUAAAGAGCUCGUAGGCGGCUUGUUGCGUCGACCGUGAAAACCCGGGGCUCAACUUCGGGCUUGCGGUCGAUACGGGCGGGCUAGAGUUCGGUAGGGGAGACUGGAAUUCCUGGUGUAGCGGUGAAAUGCGUAGAUAUCCGGAGGAACACCGGUGGCGAAGGCGGCUUCCUGGACCGACACUGACGCUGAGGCGCGAAAGCGUGGGGAGCAAACAGG
rnacentral:rRNA from 1 species